rnacentral:rRNA from 1 species
GAUGAACGCUGGCGGCGUGCUUAACACAUGCAAGUCGAACGGAAAGGCCCUGCUUGCAGGGUACUCGAGUGGCGAACGGGUGAGUAACACGUGGGUGAUCUGCCCUGUACUUUGGGAUAAGCCUGGGAAACUGGGUCUAAUACCGAAUAUGACAAUUGUUUGGAUGCGAUUGUGGAAAGCUUUUGCGGUAUGGGAUGAGCUCGCGGCCUAUCAGCUUGUUGGUGGGGUAAUGGCCUACCAAGGCGUCGACGGGUAGCCGGCCUGGGAGGGUGUACGGCCACAUUGGGACUGAGAUACGGCCCAGACUCCUACGGGAGGCAGCAGUGGGGAAUAUUGCACAAUGGGCGCGAGCCUGAUGCAGCGACGCCGCGUGGGGGAUGACGGCCUUCGGGUUGUAAACUCCUUUCGCAACCGACGAAGCCUUUUGGUGACGGUAGGUUGAGAAGAAGCACCGGCUAACUACGUG